GAUGAACGCUGGCGGCGUGCUUAACACAUGCAAGUCGAACGAAGCACUUAAGAUUGAUUCUUCGGAUGACGUCUUUUGUAACUUAGUGGCGGACGGGUGAGUAACGCGUGGGUAACCUGCCUCACACAGGGGGAUAACAGUUAGAAAUGACUGCUAAUACCGCAUAACCCGAUAGGAUCGCAUGAUCCAGACGGAAAAGAUUUAUCGGUGUGAGAUGGACCCGCGUCUGAUUAGCUAGUUGGUGAGGUAACGGCCCACCAAGGCGACGAUCAGUAGCCGGCCUGAGAGGGUGAACGGCCACAUUGGGACUGAGACACGGCCCAAACUCCUACGGGAGGCAGCAGUGGGGAAUAUUGCACAAUGGGGGAAACCCUGAUGCAGCGACGCCGCGUGAGUGAAGAAGUAUUUCGGUAUGUAAAGCUCUAUCAGCAGGGAAGAAAAUGACGGUACCUGACUAAGAAGCCCCGGCUAACUACGUG
rnacentral:rRNA from 1 species